rnacentral:rRNA from 1 species
GACGAACGCUGGCGGCGUGCUUAACACAUGCAAGUCGAACGGAAAGGCCCUGCUUUUGUGGGGUGCUCGAGUGGCGAACGGGUGAGUAACACGUGAGUAACCUGCCCUUGACUUUGGGAUAACUUCAGGAAACUGGGGCUAAUACCGGAUAGGAGCUCCUGCUGCAUGGUGGGGGUUGGAAAGUUUCGGCGGUUGGGGAUGGACUCGCGGCUUAUCAGCUUGUUGGUGGGGUAGUGGCUUACCAAGGCUUUGACGGGUAGCCGGCCUGAGAGGGUGACCGGCCACAUUGGGACUGAGGUACGGCCCAGACUCCUACGGGCGGCAGCAGUGGGGAGUAUUGCACAAUGGGCGGAAGCCUGAUGCAGCAACGCCGCGUGCGGGAUGACGGCCUUCGGGUUGUAAACCGCUUUCGCCUGUGACGAAGCGUGAGUGACGGUAAUGGGUCAAGAAGCACCGGCUAACUACGUG